GGUUAAGCGACUAAGCGUACACGGUGGAUGCCUAGGCAGUCAGAGGCGAUGAAGGGCGUGCUAAUCUGCGAAAAGCGUCGGCAAGGUGAUAUGAACCGUUAUAUCCGACGAUACCCGAAUGGGGAAACCCAGUGUGUUUCGACACAUUAUCAUCACAUGAAUACAUAGUGUGAUGAGGCGAACCGGGGGAACUGAAACAUCUCAGUACCCCGAGGAAAAGAAAUCAACCGAGAUUCCCCCAGUAGCGGCGAGCGAACGGGGAACAGCCCAGAACCUGAAUCAGUUUGUGUGUUAGUGGAAGCGUCUGGAAAGUCGCACGACAAAGGGUGAUAGUCCCGUACACAAAAAUGCACAGACUGUGAGUUCGAUGAGUAGGGCGGGACACGUGUUAUCCUGUCUGAAGAUGGGGGGACCAUCCUCCAAGGCUAAAUACUCCUGACUGACCGAUAGUGAACCAGUACCGUGAGGGAAAGGCGAAAAGAACCCCGGCGAGGGGAGUGAAAUAGAACCUGAAACCGUGUACGUACAAGCAGUGGGAGCCUUGAUUUAUCAGGGUGACUGCGUACCUUUUGUAUAAUGGGUCAGCGACUUAUAUUCUGUAGCAAGGUUAACCGUAUAGGGGAGCCGCAGGGAAACCGAGUCUUAACUGGGCGUUAAGUUGCAGGGUAUAGACCCGAAACCCGGUGAUCUAGCCAUGGGCAGGUUGAAGGUUGGGUAACACUAACUGGAGGACCGAACCGACUAAUGUUGAAAAAUUAGCGGAUGACUUGUGGCUGGGGGUGAAAGGCCAAUCAAACCGGGAGAUAGCUGGUUCUCCCCGAAAGCUAUUUAGGUAGCGCCUCGUGAAUUCAUCUUCGGGGGUAGAGCACUGUUUCGACUAGGGGGUCAUCCCGACUUACCAACUCGAUGCAAACUGCGAAUACCGAAGAAUGUUAUCACGGGAGACACACGGCGGGUGCUAACGUCCGUCGUGAAGAGGGAAACAACCCAGACCGCCAGCUAAGGUCCCAAAGUCAUGGUUAAGUGGGAAACGAUGUGGGAAGGCCCAGACAGCCAGGAUGUUGGCUUAGAAGCAGCCAUCAUUUAAAGAAAGCGUAAUAGCUCACUGGUCGAGUCGGCCUGCGCGGAAGAUGUAACGGGGCUAAACCAUGCACCGAAGCUGCGGCAGCGACACUUAGGCGUUGUUGGGUAGGGGAGCGUUCUGUAAGCCUGCGAAGGUGACCUGUGAGGGUUGCUGGAGGUAUCAGAAGUGCGAAUGCUGACAUAAGUAACGAUAAUGCGGGUGAAAAACCCGCACGCCGGAAGACCAAGGGUUCCUGUCCAACGUUAAUCGGGGCAGGGUGAGUCGACCCCUAAGGCGAGGCCGAAAGGCGUAGUCGAUGGGAAACAGGUUAAUAUUCCUGUACUGGUUGUUACUGCGAAGGGGGGACGGAGAAAGCUAGGUUGGCCGGGCGACGGUUGUCCCGGUUUAAGCGUGUAGGUGGGUGUUUUUGGUAAAUCCGGAACACUGUUAACACCGAGGCGUGAUGACGAGUCACUACGGUGAUGAAGUAACCGAUGCUACGCUUCCAGGAAAAGCCUCUAAGCUCCAGGUAACAGUCAAUCGUACCCCAAACCGACACAGGUGGUCAGGUAGAGAAUACUCAGGCGCUUGAGAGAACUCGGGUGAAGGAACUAGGCAAAAUGGUGCCGUAACUUCGGGAGAAGGCACGCUGGAUUCGGUGAAGGGACUUGCUCCCGGAGCUGAGACCAGUCGCAGAUACCAGCUGGCUGCAACUGUUUAAUAAAAACACAGCACUGUGCAAACACGAAAGUGGACGUAUACGGUGUGACGCCUGCCCGGUGCCGGAAGGUUAAUUGAUGGGGUCAGCCGCAAGGCGAAGCUCUUGAUCGAAGCCCCGGUAAACGGCGGCCGUAACUAUAACGGUCCUAAGGUAGCGAAAUUCCUUGUCGGGUAAGUUCCGACCUGCACGAAUGGCGUAAUGAUGGCCAGGCUGUCUCCACCCGAGACUCAGUGAAAUUGAACUCGCUGUGAAGAUGCAGUGUACCCGCGGCAAGACGGAAAGACCCCGUGAACCUUUACUAUAGCUUGACACUGAACCUUGAGCCUUGAUGUGUAGGAUAGGUGGGAGGCUUUGAAGCGUGGACGCCAGUCUGCGUGGAGCCAACCUUGAAAUACCACCCUUUAAUGUUUGAUGUUCUAACGUGGGCCCCUAAUCGGGGUUGCGGACAGUGUCUGGUGGGUAGUUUGACUGGGGCGGUCUCCUCCCAAAGAGUAACGGAGGAGCACGAAGGUUAGCUAAUCCUGGUCGGACAUCAGGAGGUUAGUGCAAAGGCAUAAGCUAGCUUGACUGCGAGAGUGACGGCUCGAGCAGGUGCGAAAGCAGGUCUUAGUGAUCCGGUGGUUCUGAAUGGAAGGGCCAUCGCUCAACGGAUAAAAGGUACUCCGGGGAUAACAGGCUGAUACCGCCCAAGAGUUCAUAUCGACGGCGGUGUUUGGCACCUCGAUGUCGGCUCAUCACAUCCUGGGGCUGAAGUAGGUCCCAAGGGUAUGGCUGUUCGCCAUUUAAAGUGGUACGCGAGCUGGGUUUAGAACGUCGUGAGACAGUUCGGUCCCUAUCUGCCGUGGGCGUUGGAAGAUUGAGAGGGGUUGCUCCUAGUACGAGAGGACCGGAGUGAACGCACCACUGGUGUACGGGUUGUGAUGCCAAUUGCAUUGCCCGGUAGCUAAGUGCGGAAGAGAUAACCGCUGAAAGCAUCUAAGCGGGAAACUUGCCUCGAGAUGAGUCUUCCCUGGGACCUUGAGUCCCCUGAAGGGCCGUUGAAGACGACGACGUAGAUAGGCUGGGUGUGUAAGCGUAGCGAUACGUUGAGCUAACCAGUACUAAUGACCCGAGAGGCUUAACCUU
rnacentral:rRNA from 1 species